GAUGAACGCUGGCGGCGUGCUUAACACAUGCAAGUCGAACGGAAAGGCCAGUGCUUGCACUGGUGCUCGAGUGGCGAACGGGUGAGUAACACGUGGGUGAUCUGCCCUGCACUUUGGGAUAAGCCUGGGAAACUGGGUCUAAUACCAGAUAGGACCAUGCUUUGGAUGGUGUGGUGGAAAGUUUUUUCGGUGUGGGAUGAGCUUGCGGCCUAUCAGCUUGUUGGUGGGGUAAUGGCCUACCAAGGCGUCGACGGGUAGCCGGGCUGGGAGGGUGGACGGGCACAUUGGGAACGGGAUUCCGCCCAGGCUCCUACGGGGGGGAGGAGGGGGGAAUAUUGCAAAAAGGGGGGAAGCCCGGUGCAGCGACGCCGCGUGGGGGAUGACGGCCUUCGGGUUGUAAACCCCUUUCGCAACUGACGAAGCUUUUUGUGACGGUAGGUUGAGAAGAAGCACCGGCUAACUACGUG
rnacentral:rRNA from 1 species